GGGGGAGGGCCUUAUAUGCGUCACGGAAGUUAGAAUAGCAAUGAUCCAAGGUUUUACCAGCCCUGGUUGCGCAAUCGAUAUGCUGAUACAAUUUAGGGAGUCUUGUUUUCAGAUUAGCCUUGUUAAAAUCCCCAGCUACAAUGAAUGCAGCCUCAGGAUAUGUGGUUUCCAGUUUGCAAAGAGUCAAAUAAAGUUUGUUCAGAGCCAUCGAUGUGUCUGCUUGUGGGGGAAUAUAUACGGCUGUGAUUAUAAUCGAAGAGAAUUCCCUUGGUAGAUAAUGCGGUCAACAUUUGAUUGUGAGGAAUUCUAAAUCAGGUGAACAGAAGGACUUGAGUUCCUGUAUGUUGUUGUGACCACACCACGUCUCGUUAACCAUAAGGCAUACACCCCCGCCCGUCUUCUUACCAGAAAGAUGUUUGUUUCUGUCGGCGCGAUGCGUGGAGAAACCAGCUGGCUGCACCGAUUCCGUUAACGUCUCUCGAGUGAGCCAUGUUUCCGUGAAGCAAAGAACGUUACAGUCUCUGAUGUCCCUCUGGAAUGCUACCCGGAUUUCAUCAACCUUGUUGUCAAGAGACUGGACAUUGGCGAGAAGUAUGCUAGGGAGUGGUGUGCGUUGUGCCCGUCUCCGGAGCCUGACCAGAAGACCGCUUCGUUUCCCUCUUUUACUACGUCUUUGUUUUGGGUCGCAGGCUGGGAUCCAUUCCGUUGCCCUGGGUGAAAGGCAGAACACAGGAUCCGCUUCAGGAAAGUCAUAUUCCUGGUCGUACUGAUGUGAGGAGCUGUCCCGUAAGACAAUGGCCACGCUGACGCGUCUGGCCAACAAGGGCUUCCCCUCAGACUGGACCAGGAGCUGGAAGGUGGAUGGCAACAGCAAGAAGCAGGGCGGCAAAGACGGCCUGUACAGCUGGAGCAGCACCCUGACACCCUGAGGCCUACCAGAGUUCCCAGCCUCCGGUCACCCAGACCCUGGGGAGUGCUGACUGUUCUGGGUAGGACCCACCAGUCACACACCCCUGUGGAGAGAGGAUGUUGGUUCCUCGGCUUUGACUUUCUUUGUUCUAAGAUUAAUUGUUCUCUGAUUUAGUGAUCACUCUCGUGUAGACUAACAUGGGGCUUAGAUUGAGUUUAUGUGUCAAUCCAUUCUGUAGACUGAAAUUUUGUUUGAUAUAGAUUUAAUGUGAUCUGCGUUUAUUCACUAUCAUGUUUGCU
ensembl:lncRNA